rnacentral:rRNA from 1 species
UACGUAGGUGGCAAGCGUUGUCCGGAAUUACUGGGCGUAAAGGGCGUGUAGGCGGCCUGAUAAGUCAGACGUGAAAGCCCGCGGCUUAACCGCGGGACUGCGUUUGAAACUGACAGGCUUGAGGAUCGGAGAGGGCAGUGGAAUUCCCAGUGUAGCGGUGAAAUGCGUAGAUAUUGGGAGGAACACCAGUGGCGAAGGCGACUGCCUGGACGACACCUGACGCUGAGGCGCGAAAGCUAGGGGAGCAAACGGG